rnacentral:rRNA from 1 species
UUAUGUGAUCGUCUCUCGCAUAUCAAUAAGCGGAGGAAAAGAAACUAACAAGGAUUCCCCUAGUAACGGCGAGUGAAGCGGGAAGAGCUCAAAUUUGAAAUCUUAAAGGGUUUCCCUUUACGAAUUGUAGUUUAAAGAAGUGUUUUCUGUUGAGGUUUUGGUAAAAGUUCUUUGGAAUAGGACAUCAUAGAGGGUGAGAAUCCCGUAUUUGACCUUUACUUCCAACUUUGUGAUACACUUUCAAAGAGUCGGAUUGUUUGGGAAUGCAGUCCAAAAUGGGUGGUAAAUUUCAUCUAAAGCUAAAUAUUGGCGAGAGACCGAUAGCGAACAAGUACCGUGAGGGAAAGAUGAAAAGAACUUUGAAAAGAGAGUUAAACAGUACGUGAAAUUGUCAAAAGGGAAGCGUUUGACACCAGUGUUGUUUUUCUGGAAAUCAAUUAAAGAACUGUUUAUGCUAAGUUGUUUAGACUUUAUCAGCUAACUGUUUAGUUUUGAGCUUUUCUUUAAUGCACUUUUCAGUUAACAAGUCAACAUCAAUUUCUUUUGCUGUAAAAAAGCUUGAGGAAGGUGGCUUGAGAUUCGUCUUAAGUGUUUAUAGCCUCUUGCCUAUGCAGUCGGAGAGAUUGAGGUCUGCAGCGUAGAUCCUUCGGGGCUAAAUGCAUUUGUGCUAAGUUAUAGCAUUUUAUAGACAACUUGUUGACUAUGAUUUGUCUUGUAGCUUACUCGCUUAUGUUAUUUUACCUACGCUUAGGAUGUUGAUCUACAGAGCGAGAGU